UACAUUGGAAGCUGCCCAGGGUUCCUGACCCAGGCCAAUCACGUCAACUGUUACGUCACUUUAAUCCAACAGCAGUGCUGCGGCACGUGCAAGCAAUACUACACUGGCAGCGUGGGCUGUGAGUACGGCGACAGAUCCCUGGACUGCGUGAAACACCCCCCGGCAGCGGUAUGCCCUACCUACAAAGACACACUCUGCUGCCACUACUGCAGCGGGUUUGUUGGCAAGCGUUCAGUCCCUGACGAUGUUCUUGACCGACUCAACAUCACUGUGGCUGUACCCGUUGACCCGUGGCCUGUCCAUCGUGAGGAGCA